UACGUAGGCAGCAAACGUUGUUCGGAAUUACUGGGCGUAAAGAGUGUGUAGGCGGUUGGGUAAGUUUGGUGUGAAAUCUCCCGGCUUAACUGGGAGGGUGCGCCGAAAACUGCCUGGCUUGAGUACUGGAGAGGAAAGCGGAAUUCCUGGAGUAGCGGUGAAAUGCGUAGAUAUCAGGAGGAACACCGGUGGUGUAGACGGCUUUCUGGACAGUCACUGACGCUGAGACACGAAAGCGUGGGGAGCAAACAGG
rnacentral:rRNA from 1 species